UACGUAGGGGGCAAGCGUUGUCCGGAAUUAUUGGGCGUAAAGCGCGCGCAGGCGGCUUCUUAAGUCUGAUGUGAAAGCCCACGGCUCAACCGUGGAGGGUCAUUGGAAACUGGGGAGCUUGAGUGCAGAAGAGGAGAGUGGAAUUCCACGUGUAGCGGUGAAAUGCGUAGAGAUGUGGAGGAACACCAGUGGCGAAAGCGGCUCUCUGGUCUGUAACUGACGCUCAUGCACGACAGCGUGGGGAUCAAACAGG
rnacentral:rRNA from 1 species